rnacentral:lncRNA from 1 species
CUCUCUUGAUCGCUUUGAGGUGAUGUGGCGCCAGGUCCCAGCCCCCGAGCACGGGAGCACGGGUGUCCGAAGCAUUACUCUCGGGGACUCGCGCCUAUGGGGCAGCUCGUGUGGCCUACCUCGCGAGGCUCCGCAUGUGAAGUCCCGUGGAGAGAAAAUCACCAAGCCUUGAUGGCGCGUGCAUGCUCGACUGCAUUUGGGCAUCCCCACUUGCAUAUGUGUGUGGCGAGAGUACAAAAUCCAAAAGAGCUUCAGAAAAACCAGA